rnacentral:rRNA from 1 species
UCUAAGCGACUGCGGAGACAUUAUCGAUUCACUGAGGGUUGUUGCUGGGCACUCAAAGAGUGUCAAAAGUGCACGCCUUCGUCUAUUCACACACCCACGUGCACCUAUUGUAGGUUGGGUCGUAGGGCUGACUUCGGUCGGUCUGAAAGCCCUGCCUAUGUUUCAACACACGCUUCAGUCAAAGAAUGUCAUUUGCGGAUAACGCAUAUAUACAACUUUCAGCAACGGAUCUCUUGGCUCUCGCAUCGAUGAAGAACGCAGCGAAAUGCGAUAAGUAAUGUGAAUUGCAGAAUUCAGUGAAUCAUCGAAUCUUUGAACGCACCUUGCGCUCCUUGGUAUUCCGAGGAGCAUGCCUGUUUGAGUGUCGUGAAAUUCUCAACCUUCGCCACUUUUGUGGCGCAGGCUUGGACUUGGAGGUCGUGUCGGCUCGCAAGGGUCGACUCCUCUGAAAUGCAUUAGUGCGGGCCUUACGGACCGCCUCGGUGUGAUAAUUGUCUACGCCGUGGCGUGAAGUAUGCUUGUGUUCGCGCUUCCAACCGUCCGCAAGGACACUUUUGACCAUUUGACCUCAAAUCAGGUAGGACUACCCGCUGAACUUAAGCAUACA